rnacentral:rRNA from 1 species
CCCCGGCGCCACAAGUGGUAGCCACAUUUAUUGGGUCUAAAGCGUUCGUAGCCGGUUUGGGUUAUUUUAUGUGAAAUCGUUGGGCUUAACUUAACGUUGUGCAUAAAACACUCCCAAACUUGAGACCGGGAGGAGAUAGAGGUAUUCUGGGGGGAGCGGUAAAAUGCUAUAAUCCCUAGAGGACCACCAGUGGCGAAGGCUUCUAUCUAGAACGGGUCUGACGGUGAGGAACGAAGGCCAGGGGAGCAAAUCG